AAAAAUAGUUCUGUGUGUGCAUGGAUAUGUGCAUUUGCACACACAUACACACAUACAUAAGCUUGCCUCAAAAUACACAAGAUGGAUUAGACAUUUCAAGGACUUUCAAAGCAAGGAACAUACACAGAGGAGAAUUUAGAGUGGGAAUGAGUUACCCCCCUCUGAAUUAUUGCAUGGUUGUGCUGUUUGAUGUCAAGAGGCCUUUGCACUGCUCUGGAGUAGAUAUACCAGUAUUUUUCCUCCAAGCUCUGUCUCCCCAUCUGGCUCCACACUUGUUGGACUUGAUCUUUUUCCAACCUGAACAAUUCUAUGAUUCUACAAUUCUAUGAUGAGUAACAAGAGAUUAACUCAAAUGCUUACAUAUUUAAACUGCUGUUUGAGCAUUUCAAAAUUGAUACUUGCUUGUUCAAGACCUCAUUGCAACAAUUUCAGAAGAGGAUCUUCAGUAUAAAAUACUGAUUUCACUCAUUAUAACACCAGACCAUGACAGAAAUCUCUGACUUAGAUCUGUGCUGAACUUUGGCUUACCUUGAACAAAAUUUAAAUAGCAACAUGUUUUGUUUCCAGAGUAUCUCCAAUUAAUAAAUGCAUUCAUUUGAAAACACUUCACCUCAAGUUCCUCCAGGUCCACCUUUUAAAUAAAGGCCUAUUUUCUCUUCCUGACAUCAUUCGCAGCAAAGACAGAUAGAUUGUGUGCAGAGUUUAUUACAAGAUCGAUCAAGAUAAUUGAGGUAUAAUUUUCUCAGUGAUUUCUGUCAUCAUUUUUAAAGGCAGGGAUGAUUAUGUUUCUCUUUCACCCAUCUGGGAAAACACACAGUGUUCUCAUGUAAUUUGAACAUUUCAGCAAGGAUGUGAGACCAUCUUUUUGGAUGUAACUAAUAGCUCUGCCAUUAGGCCAUCCUCUCUCGAGACUUCAUUUUUCUUAUUAAUAAUCAUCAACACUAUCUCUUGUUCAGAAAAAAAAAAAAAAGAAAAAGAAAAGAAAGAGCCACACCUAAGACUUUUUCUCAUUGGCAUAACAGCCAAUUUCAAAUUUAAGAUGUGGCUUAUGCUUAUGACAAUUCAAAUGCUCCCUAUGAAAUCUCCAGAGAGAAUCCCUUUCUUUUUUCCCCACUUUUUUUUUUUUUUUUUUUAAGAAUGUUUAUUUAAGUUACUUUUGUGGGUUUUUUUUAAGGCUAUUUCAAAACUAAACUCCAAGUCCCCUAAUUUUGCUCAAGUAACCACAUGAAAUUUUCUAAUUUAC
ensembl:lncRNA